rnacentral:rRNA from 1 species
GAUGAACGCUGGCGGCGUGCCUAAUACAUGCAAGUCGAGCGAACAGACGAGGAGCUUGCUCCUCUGACGUUAGCGGCGGACGGGUGAGUAACACGUGGAUAACCUACCUAUAAGACUGGGAUAACUUCGGGAAACCGGAGCUAAUACCGGAUAAUAUAUUGAACCGCAUGGUUCAAUAGUGAAAGACGGUUUUGCUGUUACUUAUAGAUGGAUCCGCGCCGCAUUAGCUAGUUGGUAAGGUAACGGCUUACCAAGGCAACGAUGCGUAGCCGACCUGAGAGGGUGAUCGGCAACACUGGAACGGAGACACGGUCCAGACCCCUACGGGAGGCAGCAUGAGGGAAUCUUCCGCAAUGGGCGAAAGCCUGACGAAGCAACGCGGCGUGGGUGAUGAAGGUCUUGGGAUCGUAAAACUCUGUUAUUAGGGAAGAAAAAAUGUGUAAGUAACUAUGCAGGUCUUGACGGUACCAAAGCAGAAAGCCACGGCUAACUACGU